rnacentral:rRNA from 1 species
GAUGAACGCUAGCUACAGGCUUAACACAUGCAAGUCGAGGGGAAACGAUAGAGCAAGCUUGCUUUUCCUAGGCGUCGACCGGCGCACGGGUGCGUAACGCGCAUCCAACCUGCCCACCACUUGGGGAUAACCUUGCGAAAGUCAGACUAAUACCCAAUGACGUCUCUAGAAUCCAUCUGAAAGAGCUUAAAGAUUUAUCGGUGUUGGAUGGGGAUGCGUCUGAUUAGCUUGUUGGCGAGGUAACGGCCCACCAAGGCGACGAUCAGUAGGGGUGCUGAGAGGAAGGUCCCCCACAUUGGAACUGAGACACGGUCCAAACUCCUACGGGAGGCAGCAGUGAGGAAUAUUGGUCAAUGGGCGAGGGCCUGAACCAGCCAAGUAGCGUGCAGGAUGACGGCCCUAUGGGUUGUAAACUGCUUUUAUAAGGGAAUAAAGUGAGUCUCGUGAGACUUUUUGCAUGUACCUUACGAAUAAGGACCGGCUAAUUCCGUGCCAGCAGCCGCAGUAA